rnacentral:rRNA from 1 species
UACAGAGGUCUCAAGCGUUGUUCGGAUUUAUUGGGCGUCAAGGGUGCGCAGGCGGUGUGGUAAGUUUGGUGUGAAAUCCUGGGGCUCAACCCCAGAAUUGCACUGAAUACUGCCAUGCUAGAGGACUGGAGAGGAGAUUGGAAUUCACGGUGUAGCAGUGAAAUGCGUAGAUAUCGUGAGGAAGACCAGUGGCGAAGGCGAAUCUCUGGACAGUUCCUGACGCUCAUGCACGAAGGCUAGGGGAGCAAACGGG